ensembl:snoRNA
UCAUGGUGCCUGCCCCAUGCCAAUGCAAAAUGUUGCCUUGAAACCACUGUCUAGCCUCUGUGCCAUAGGCUACGGGCACUGGAGUAACUUGCACUGUG